GAGGAUGCUACUGAUACUCUACUCUUGGAUAGUGGACGUUACUCGCAGAAUUAGCGCCGGCUAACUCUGUGCCAGCAGCCGCGGUAAUACAGAGGGUGCGAGCGUUAAUCGGAUUUACUGGGCGUAAAGCGUGCGUAGGCGGCUUUUUAAGUCGGAUGUGAAAUCCCCGAGCUUAACUUGGGAAUUGCAUUCGAUACUGGGAAGCUAGAGUAUGGGAGAGGAUGGUAGAAUUCCAGGUGUAGCGGUGAAAUGCGUAGAGAUCUGGAGGAAUACCGAUGGCGAAGGCAGCCAUCUGGCCUAAUACUGACGCUGAGGUACGAAAGCAUGGGGAGCAAACAGGAUUAGAUACCCUGGUAGUCCAUGCCGUACACGAUGUCUACUAGCCGUUGGGGCCUUUGAGGCUUUAGUGGCGCAGCUAACGCGAUAAGUAGACCGCCUGGGGAGUACGGUCGCAAGACUAAAACUCAAAUGAAUUGACGGGGGCCCGCACAAGCGGUGGAGCAUGUGGUUUAAUUCGAUGCAACGCGAAGAACCUUACCUGGCCUUGACAUACUAGACACUUUCCAGACAUGGAUUGGUGCCUUCGGGAAUCUAG
rnacentral:rRNA from 1 species